ensembl:lncRNA
GCUGAGGCAUGCUCUGUCCUCCAUACCAAGAUCAGGUGGACCAAUGGAAUUCACCAGAACUGAAGAGAAAGUACCCUUCAUUACACCCCUGUCCUGGAAGAUGGAGUGUGUGGUGUAAGACUGAUAAUAAAACUCUUUGUUUUAGACAGGAGAAAACUUGAGUUUGGCAGGUUAACAUGUCCAGGUCAUCUACCUAGAGACUUUAAAGAAAAUGAGCCUAGGCUGGCUGCAGACCUUGCUUCUUCUUGACGCUUACAGUUUCCAGUUCUGAGAAGCCCCUCUUCUGCAGAGGUGACACAAGAGCCACCUCAGGUUCCGUCUAUUUAUGGGCUGGGAUUCCUUAAGCAAGUUUUGUGAUUCUUCAGGUAAAUCAUCAGUGUGAUUGGUUUGGGAUCAGGCUAUGAGAUUGGUGGAGCACAUGGAUGUGUCUGGGUGGGUCAUGGGGUAUAACCCUCAGGUCUAUAUCUGGUCCUUAGCCCCUUCCUCUCUGGCACUGUUCCCCUGUUCUGCUUCCUGGCCUCCAUGAACUAAGUAGCUUUGUUAUGCCAUGCCCCCUCUGCCACAGUGUUCCUGUCUUGAAGCCAGCCAGCCAUGGACUGAAUCCUC